UACAGAGGUCUCAAGCGUUGUUCGGAUUCAUUGGGCGUAAAGGGUGUGUAGGUGGCGCCGUAAGUCGGGUGUGAAAUUUCGGAGCUUAACUCCGAAACUGCAUUCGAUACUGCGGUGCUUGAGGACUGGAGAGGAGACUGGAAUUCAUGGUGUAGCGGUGGAAUGCGCAGAUAUCAGGAGGAACACCGGUGGCGAAGGCGGGUCUCUGGGCAGUAACUGACGCUGAGAAGCGAAAGCGUGGGGAGCGAACAGG
rnacentral:rRNA from 1 species